AGUGCAAAAACUUAUUUCCGGGUUGAAUGCUCUCUGAAGUUAGCUGGGCCCUAAACCGUUCAGCUUUACUGCCUUCAGAACACCUCUGUGCAGCUUUCAUAGGAACAAACGGGGCUUCACCUCCAACAAUGUGUUCAGUAAUAAAACGUCCUUCAUAGACAGCAUCAAGUAUUCCUUAAUCGUUUAGGCCUAGCACCACAACGGUCAUCACUCAGCACCACGGAAUUUAGCGUGUUCAUCCGGGUUUAGACCAAAGCCGAGCAGAGCCGAGAUGUGACGGAUGAUGACUUUUCCCCCCACAACUCUUUCAUUUGCUACCGACGGAUGCUGACCCGGGGCGUCGUGGCUGCCCGGGGUCCCUGUCGGCCCGCCGCCCUCUCUCACUCCACCUCGGGGACGCUCGGCUCCUCCAGCGUUUUUUAACACGGUGAUUAAUCACACACACGGCGGCGGACGUGCUGUGCUGAACACGGCCAAUCGCCUCCAUUAAAGCGGGGGAGCUUUCGGCCGACACAGAGAGCACUUUGUGCCCGGGGAACACAGGUCAUUGUCCGCCGCGACGCCCGGCUCGGUGGGGAGACACGAGGCUGGACUGUGUGCGGCUGUUUUGACAACCUCGGCUAGGUUUCCGAAAACCGCAUGUGUGCCUCAUUUCCUAUUUCAUAUCCUGGCCUGGUUAGCAGGAUUACACGGGAUUAAUAUAAUAGAUCACUGUGUUGUCAUUUUACUCCUGCUUUGAUCAGCUACGUCUCAAACAACAGGCAUCAUUAGGUUUGUGAGCUAACUACAUGAUAGCCUGUUGGCUAAUAGGAAAUGUCAUUUACUUAGUUAAUGACUUAUUUACUUGCUCAAUUAAUAUGCUGCUGUUUAUCUCUAGAAGUGGUCUCUAGCGCCCCCCACGGGCUGUCUCUGCAGGCUGUAGUAGUGUAGUGUGUGACCUCCUGCCCUGCUGAGACUUAGAAAUACAAGAACAAACAACCUGAAACGCAGUUUUUUACAAUAAAAACAUAAAAAUUAAAA